CUUCACUGCUCACUUAUACCACUCCUGAGAGAUGAGGAACAUCUAUCUUUGACUAUGGUUCUGGGGAAAAAGUCCAUUUAAAAGAGCUGAAGAUCAGAAUAUUAUGGUGGUCCAAUGAAGCUCCAUGGAGAGGCCAAAGAAGAAUGGUUUGGGUCUCACCAACCCUCAGACCAGUGCCAGCGAAUGAUCCCCUAACAUAGCCAUAGAAUAGCUACGUUGAGCUUCCAGACCAGUUCUGAAACCAGCAUACAGGGACAUCGUUUCUUCCUUUGUACCCGUAUCCUUCAUGCAUAAGUAUGUCCUCUCUUGUGUUUUUUCUUAGCCUCUUAGUUAAUGUGCUAUUGCAAUGCUUCAGGAGAUACUAAAUUUGUGAAAUAGAAGAAGCCAGUACUCCGGUGCUUCUUUAAGUGGAGAGAGAAAACCUCAGCAGAUCAGUAGUUCUGGAGACUGUGACUCUGGUGAGCAGUAAGCAACUGUGUUUGGUCGAGGUAGCCAACGCACAGAGAGGUGGAGAGAAUCUGAGGACAGAUUUGUGGCUGCCCACCAACCAGGCAAGCCUGCUUACCUGUGCUUUCCAGCAGGAAAACAGAGUCCUGGAUUUUCCAGCCCUUAGUUCCAGCUCACCUACUCCUGAAGCUAAUCUCAGGAGCACCUCUGAAGUAAAAGCAGAACCUAAAGAGAUAGAGAGCUUCAAGAGUUCUACUUGCUUCAGUGCUACUCUCAUUCAGAAAACAGAUUGCUGGGAGUUUAUUUCUGGCAUGUUCUUGAAUUUUAGGCUUCAAGUUUUUCCACUAGCCAGCUUAUCUGACCUUCAGUAGGAUCACGUCUGUUCCAGGACCUUGCACAUUUGUGAUCACAGACAGAUCCAUUCGAGGUUUCCCUUCAUGCACUGAUGAGAAAAAGCCCUCAGGAGGCCAGUUCCUCUUGUGGUUCUCCCCUAGAGCCACUCAACUUCCUUCCUCCUGCCACAGCACCUCCCCAGCACUGCUCUAUGGGAAACGUGUGAAGCAUUUCCUGUCUCCAGUAGUGCCCUCCUCCCUGACUCUUCUCUCUCUUUCCCUUGGACGGAACUAAACCCCUUUAAGUAUUUUAGAGCCUCCCCUUUAGAAUUACCUCCUGUGAAUGGGACAGUUUCUAUUUUUGCAUCACGUGUCCCUGGAAAACUGGUGAGCCUACAUUCCUUCCCUAGGUAUUUACAUUUUAAGCUUGUUAACCUUAAUUACAGAAAUUGGAAAUAAAAUUAAAAACUAUUCCUUUCUUAAUGGAACUCCAUGCAUCAGCAGGUGUGAAGAGCAGGAUGGAAUUGAUUUUAACCCCAAAAUCAUAAAUCAAUUUUUGCAUAUGCAAAGGUAGACCAGGCAUAAUUUUCUAAAAGUUCUGUUGUGUGGUGGGUAAGAAUGAGUGGAAAAGAAAAGAAAAGAAAAAAGUGACUCAUGUUCACUCUUCUCUGGGUGUCCCAAUGUAUAGAAAUCCCAACCAAGCUGAACGGACUAUAGGCCACUUUCGGCCCAUCUGUUCCCGGAGCUAAUUAAGGGAAGAGGAAUGCAGCUUGAGUUAGUAGCUGCUGACUUUGAGAUCUGGACACCCACAGCACCACCACCACUGUGGCAAUCCCAUGACAGCUGAGAGGUCAAGCUAACAUCCUCUGAUUCUGCAUCAAUGUUCCCUAAGACACUAUUACCUACACUGGGAUGAACAGGGAUACUUACAAAGGACAUAUUCCCUGG
ensembl:lincRNA